UCCAAUGGAACAUUCUGAAAACCAAAGUUAUCCAAGGAAUCAGGCACAAACAUCACCUUAUAAGGACAUUCCAGAAAAACUGGUUUCACCACCAGCUCAGCUGAAAGCGCACAGAUCCAUGCCUCAUCCUAUCCCAAUAUGAUAAGAGCAUGUUGAAAAAAAAAAGACAAAUAUAUACUAGAUGCCAACUAUUUUGUUUUUGUUUGGUAGAUUUUUUUUCAAAAAUUUUCAAAAUGCAU